GAGGAACUAUGAACCCCAAGGGGGAGGUGCUAGCCAGGCUGUCUUCAGCUCCUGAGCCAUAAAACAUUCCACUUGACUACAGUUCAGACUACAGAAAACAAGUGCAGCAGACACGUCUGUAAUGUCAAGCCGUGUGACAGGUAACCCAGCUGUUCCUUACUGUCUAAUGACUCCAGCUCCGUUACAUGGCAAGAAAAUAAAAUCUAACUUCUCAAUUGUGAUUGUUUUCACGAAUAGAUGGCAGUGGAUCAGAUUCCAACAGCAAGCUAGACAGAUUCAUAGAAUGGCUGAUGCAGAAGCUCAGUUACAUCAGCGUGACAACCGGCCAUGAUGAGUACAUGAAGGAGAUUGGAGAGAGGCAGCAGAGGAACGAGGAUUUGAACUGCGAGAGAUUAGUGCAAUGUGAACCAGCCAUGGCAGACGCUUAAAAUAAUAUUAUUCUUUCCUACAGUUUAUACUGUAGUGUAUGUAGUAUAUUUUUGCUACUCUAUAUAGUGUUUCUCAUGCUUGGCCUCCUAUAGCAAAAGAAAAUUAGAAAGUGGGGAGUGAUUGGGGAGAUGGGGGCGGGCUGGGGAAGUGAUUUAGAAAGUGAUCCGAGUGCAUCUGAAAACAAAAAAAUCUUUAAAAUUGACUGAGCCAAACCUGGAAAGCCACACAAAACAGGAAGGGAAGGAAAAGAAGAGACAAAAUAAAUAAGAAACAAGGGGGAAAAGAGAAACA
rnacentral:lncRNA from 1 species